GCUUACUCACGACCCGCGACCCCAAGUCUCUGGCAGCGCGCUUUGCCCUCAGCAUCGGAUUCCUUCCUAGGACCGGGAGACCUUUGUGACUUCCCGGGCACUCCCGACCUCUCUGAAGUGCUCUUUUAUCUUUUGGUGUAGGAGAGACUACCGGCGAGAGGAAAUCUUUCCUGAAGGAGGAGUUAAGUUUUUUGUGUUAGCUGUUUCUCUUUAGAAAAAUGCUCUGGAGAAGUGACAGCUUUGGUUGAUUGUGAUCACCCAGUGUUCUUUGACUCUUUAGGGACUUUGUUAAAAUUCACGAUUUCUAAUUUUCUGCUGCUAAUAGGACUGCUGACGGAUAAAUCCUGGGAAAAAAUCAGCCAAGUUCUUCAACUCUGUAACGUAGCACCUGAUCCUUGACCUAGCUUGCUGACAUCUUUUGAAAGUGGGUGAGAUGAAGUAGAAAACAGAAUGAGGACAUCUAAAUAUUUUUAGGUGGACUGGCUAACUGUGGGCCCUUUGUGACUUUGAUCUUGAAAGCAAACUAAAGUUCUGCCGGGUGAAGAUCAAGCACCAGCAGAUUUGGUGACUAUUGAGGGCCUAUUCCUCAUUCAUAGAUGUCACUUUCUGGCUGUUUCCUCACAUGGUGGAUGGAGCAAGCUACCCCUCUGAGGUCUCUUUUAUAAAGGUACUAAUCGCAUUCAUGAGGGCUGUACCCUCAUGACUUAAUCACCUCCCAAAGGUCCCACUUCUUAAUACCAUCACUUUGGGGGGUUAGGAUUUCAACAUGAAUUUUGUGGGGGAUACCAGCAAACAUUCAGACUAUAGCUGGGUAGCUGACAGAAAGCUCCCCUACCCCACAUGUGGAUGGAAAAACAGUGUCUAUUUGCUUCCCAUUCUUCAGGCACUUCCUUUCCCUGUUGGAUCUAGUAGAUUGGUGAUGCAGGUUUUCUUCUUUUGAAAUGACACUGCUGUUUUUCCCAGUAGAUUUGCCCCCUCUUUUUAACAAAAAUAAUUGUAAAAGCAGUGAGAAAUUGUUCAGGAAAAUAUUACCUGUAAUUAUAACAUCUGAAUGCUAUUAUUUUCAUUUUUGUCUGCAUAUAUCCCUCGACAUUCAAACUUUUGCUGUCCAAACUUGGGAACCAAAUAGAUUUAUUCAGUAAAGGGUAUCUGACAUCAUAAUCUUUGUCUCUACUCUUGGUCAUUUUUACCUAAUUGCAGUCAAAGUGUUCAUAAUAAUUUGCAGUCAUGAGUACACACAUUUAGUUUUGUUUAAAUGCUAAAAACUGUAACACUUGUGGAAGGUUCUGCUGGAUAUUCCAACAUAAAAAUGAAAUUCAUCAAUCUUGUUCCUAGGAUAUACCCUUGAGUAUAGCACAUGCUGUGUAGUUCUGUGCCAGUAACUGCAAAUGAAAUGGGUUAGGAGGAGAGUACUGUCCUAAUAGUGGAAAGAACACUGGAUUGAAAGUUAAGGGUGCUUUAAGUAUAUUUGAGGUAUAUGCUUUUGCUUCUUAGCAAAUAACUAAUGCGAUCAUCUUGAAGAAGUAGGGGUUAGGUCUUCCUCCAUGCUCUGAAAGUAGGUUGUCUUUCUUUCGUUAAAAUGAAUCUUACUUACCUGUAAAUGAAGGACCUCUUUCAGAGUGUCCUCAUAAUAUGAUGCUUCUCACUAAUUGAUACAGCUUUUUGUGGAAAAUUCUUAAAUGAAGAUGUCU